GACGAACGCUGGCGGCGUGCUUAACACAUGCAAGUCGAACGGUGAAGCGCCUUCCUUUUUGGUGGGUGUGGAUGAGUGGCGAACGGGUGAGUAACACGUGAGUAACCUGCCCCCUUCUUCUGGAUAACCGCAUGAAAGUGUGGCUAAUACGGGAUAUUCUGGGUCUGUCGCAUGAUGGGUCUGGGAAAGAUAUUGUUUCGGUGGGGGAUGGGCUCGCGGCCUAUCAGCUUGUUGGUGGGGUGAUGGCCUACCAAGGCGGUGACGGGUAGCCGGCCUGAGAGGGUGGACGGUCACACUGGGACUGAGACACGGCCCAGACUCCUACGGGGGGCAGCAGUGGGGAAUAUUGCACAAUGGGCGCAAGCCUGAUGCAGCGACGCCGCGUGAGGGAUGGAGGCCUUCGGGUUGUGAACCUCUUUCGCCAGUGAAGCAGGCCUGCCUCGUUUGUGGGUGGGUUGACGGUAGCUGGAUAAGAAGCGCCGGCUAACUACGUG
rnacentral:rRNA from 1 species